AGUGAACGCUAGCGGUAGGCCUAACACAUGCAAGUCGAACGGCAGCACAGUAAGAGCUUGCUCUUACGGGUGGCGAGUGGCGGACGGGUGAGGAAUACAUCGGAAUCUACUUUUUCGUGGGGGAUAACGUAGGGAAACUUACGCUAAUACCGCAUACGACCUACGGGGGAAAGCAGGGGAUCUUCGGACCUUGCGCGAUUGAAUGAGCCGAUGUCGGAUUAGCUAGUUGGCGGGGUAAAGGCCCACCAAGGCGACGAUCCGUAGCUGGUCUGAGAGGAUGGUCGGCCACAUGGGAAGUGGGACACGGUCCAGACUCCUAAGGGAGGCAGCAGUGGGGAAUAUUGGGCAAUGGGCGGAAGCCUUAUCCAGCCAUACCGCGUGGGUGAAGAAGGCCUUCGGGUUGGAAAGCCCUUUUUUUGGGAAAGAAAAGCAGCAGGUUAAUACGCCGCUGUUGUGACGGUACCCAAAGAAUAAGCACCGGCUAACUUCGUG
rnacentral:rRNA from 1 species